CCUGGCUCAGGAUGAACGCUGGCAGUAUGCUUUACACAUGCAAGUCGUACGGGAGUUUUUAACUCAAGUGGCGGACGGGUGAGUAACACGUAAGAAUUUGCCUUUAGGAGGGGGAUAACAACUGGAAACGGUUGCUAAUACCCCAUAUGCUUUCGAGUGAAAUGGAUUUCCGCCUAAAGAGAAGCUUGCGGCUGAUUAGCUUGUUGGUAGGGUAAAAGCCUACCAAGGCGACGAUCAGUAUCUGGUUUGAGAGGACGAUCAGACACACUGGAACUGAGACACGGUCCAGACUCCUACGGGAGGCAGCAGUGGGGAAUAUUGCACAAUGGGCGAAAGCCUGAUGCAGCCAUGCCGCGUGUGUGAAGAAGGCUCUAGGGUUGUAAAGCACUUUCAGAAGGGAGGAAAGGUUGUAAGUUAAUACCUUGCAACUGUGACGUUACCUUCAGAAGAAGCACCGGCUAACUCCGUGCCAGCAGCCG
rnacentral:rRNA from 1 species